AGAGUUUGAUCCUGGCUCAGGACGAACGCUGGCGGCGUGCUUAACACAUGCAAGUCACGGGGGUCCCGCAAGGGAUAACCGGCGAACGGGUGCGUAACACGUGAACAACCUGCCCUCGUGUGGGGGAUAGCCGGGCUAACGCCCGGGUAAUACCGCAUACGUUCCUCUGGGGGAGUCCCCGGGGGAGGAAAGCUCCGGCGCACGGGGAGGGGUUCGCGGCCUAUCAGCUAGUUGGCGGGGUAAAGGCCCACCAAGGCUACGAUCAGUAUCCGGCCUGAGAGGGCGGACGGACACACUGGGACUGAGACACGGCCCAGACUCCUACGGGAGGCAGCAGUGGGGAAUCUUGCCCAAUGGGCGCAAGCCUGAGGCAGCGACGCCGCGUGGGGGAAGAAGGCCUUCGGGUUGUAAACCCCUUUCAGGAGGGACGAAGCCACUCGGGUUAAUAGCCCAGAGGGUGACGGUACCUCCAGAAGAAGCCCCGGCUAACUACGUGCCAGCAGCCGCGGUAAUACGUAGGGGGCAAGCGUUGUCCGGAUUUAUUGGGCGUAAAGAGCGUGUAGGCGGCUUGGCAAGUCCGCUGUGAAAACUCGAGGCUUAACCUCGAGACGUCGGUGGAAACUGCCUGGCUAGAGUCCGGAAGAGGAGUGUGGAAUUCCUGGUGUAGCGGUGAAAUGCGUAGA
rnacentral:rRNA from 1 species